CCUACGGGAGGCAGCAGUGGGGAAUAUUGGGCAAUGGGCGCAAGCCUGACCCAGCAACGCCGCGUGAAGGAAGAAGGCUUUCUGGUUGUAAACUUCUUUUCUCAGGGACGAAGAAAGUGACGGUACCUGAGGAAUAAGCCACGGCUAACUACGUGCCAGCAGCCGCGGUAAUACGUAGGUGGCAAGCGUUAUCCGGAUUUACUGGGUGUAAAGGGCGUGUAGGCGGGAAAGCAAGUCAGAUGUGAAAACCAUGGGCUCAACCUGUGACCUGCAUUUGAAACUGUUUUUCUUGAGUACAGGAGAGGCAGACGGAAUUCCUAGUGUAGCGGUGAAAUGCGUAGAUAUUAGGAAGAACACCAGUGGCGAAGGCGGUCUGCUGGACAGCAACUGACGCUGAGGCGCGAAAGCGUGGGGAGCAAACAGGAUUAGAUACCCCAGUAGUC
rnacentral:rRNA from 1 species